rnacentral:rRNA from 1 species
GAUGAACGCUGGCGGCGUGCUUAACACAUGCAAGUCGAACGGAAAGGCCCAAGCUUGCUUGGGUACUCGAGUGGCGAACGGGUGAGUAACACGUGGGUGAUCUGCCCUGCACUUUGGGAUAAGCCUGGGAAACUGGGUCUAAUACCGGAUAGGACCACCUCCUGGAUGUUGUGGUGGAAAGUUUUCUCGGGGUUGGGUGAGGUCGCGGCCUAUCAGCUUGUUGGUGGGGGAAUGGCCUACAACGGCGUCGACGGGUAUCCGGCCCGUGAGGGUGUACGGCGACACAGGGGGAGUGAGAUGGGGCAGAGACCCACACGGGGCAGAGGAGGGGGAAAUAGUGCAAAAGGGGCGAGAGUGAGGCGGCGCAGCGGCGUGUGGGGGGUGGCGGUUCGCGGGGUAAACACCGUUCGCUAGGGUCAAAGAGCUUGUGUGACGGUAACUGGAGAAGAAGCACCGGCUAACUACGUG